CCUACGGGUGGCAGCAGUGAGGAAUAUUGGUCAAUGGACGAGAGUCUGAACCAGCCAAGUAGCGUGAAGGAUGACUGCCCUAUGGGUUGUAAACUUCUUUUAUAUGGGAAUAAAACGUUCCACGUGUGGGAUUUUGUAUGUACCAUAUGAAUAAGGAUCGGCUAACUCCGUGCCAGCAGCCGCGGUAAUGCGGAGGAUCCGAGCGUUAUCCGGAUUUAUUGGGUUUAAAGGGAGCGUAGGUGGAUUGUUAAGUCAGUUGUGAAAGUUUGCGGCUCAACCGUAAAAUUGCAGUUGAAACUGGCAGUCUUGAGUACAGUAGAGGUGGGCGGAAUUCGUGGUGUAGCGGUGAAAUGCUUAGAUAUCACGAAGAACUCCGAUUGCGAAGGCAGUUCACUGGACUGCAACUGACACUGAGGCUCGAAAGUGUGGGUAUCAAACAGGAUUAGAUACCCUUGUAGUC
rnacentral:rRNA from 1 species